rnacentral:misc_RNA from 1 species
GCAAACUUGGUCAUUUAGAGGAAGUAAAAGUCGUAACAAGGUUUCCGUAGGUGAACCUGCGGAAGGAUCAUUACCGAGUUAGGGUUCUCUCCCGAGGCCCGACCUCCCAACCCUGUGUCUACCACCUCUGUCCCGUGUUGCUUCGGCGGACCGGCAGUCCCCUCACGGGGGUCCGUCGCCGGGGGGUCACCCCUGGAGAGCGUCCGCCGAUGGCCCCAACCAAAACAACGCCCAAACCCAAAUUAACGUACCUAAAACUUCUGAAUCAAACCUUUUUGAUGUACCAAUCAAAAACAAAACUUUCAACAACGGAUCUCUUGGUUCUGGCAUCGAUGAAGAACGCAGC